ensembl:misc_RNA Metazoa_SRP Metazoan signal recognition particle RNA
GCCAGGCGUGGUGGCACAUGCCUGUAGUUCCAACUAUUCAGGUGGCUGAGGCUGGAGGAUCUCCUGAGCCUAGGAGUUCUGGGCUGUAGUGCACUAUGCCGAUCGGGUGUCCGCACUAAGUUCGGCAUCAAUAUGGUGACCUCCCGAGAGCGGGGGACUACCAGGUUGCCUAAAGAGGGGUGAACCAGCACAGGUCGGAAAUGGAGCAGGUCAAAACUCCCGUGCUGAUCAGUAGUGGGAUUGUGCCUGUGAAUAGCCACUGCACUCCAGCCUGGGCAACAUAGCGAGACCCUGUCUCUU